GGCUGAGGCCGAGGCGGCGGCCCUGAUGGCUGUGGUGCUGGGAGGCUGACUGCCGGGAUAGGAGCGGGCUGCGCGCCCAGAAUCUUGGCGGCCGCCGCUCUGCCGCGCCUUGCGCCAUGGCCACCUCUGCCGCCUCCUCUGAGCAUUUUGAGAAGCUGCAAGAGAUCUUCCGCCGCCUCCAUGAUGACCUGCAGGGAGUGCCCGAGCGGCUGCUGGGGACGGCGGGGACCGAAGAGAAGAAGAAGUUGAUCAGAGAUUUUGAUGAAAAACAACAAGAAGCCAAUGAAACGCUGGCAGAGAUGGAGGAAGAACUACGUUAUGCACCCCUAUCUUUCCGUAAUCCUGUGAUGUCCAAACUUCGAACCUACCGGAAAGACCUUGCCAAACUGCAUCGGGAAGUGAGAAAAGCACACCUUUGACAGCCACACCUGGGGGCCGAGGAGACCUGAAAUUUCAGUACCUAUGCUGUAGAGAACGAGCACAUGAAUCGACUACAGUCUCAAAGGGCCUUGCUUCUGCAAGGCACUGACAGCUUGAACCGGGCCACCCAGGGUAUUGAGCGUUCUCAUCGGAUUGCCACGGAGACUGACCAGAUUGGCUCCGAAAUCAUAGAGGAACUGGGGGAGCAACGAAAACAGCUGGAAAGUACCAAGAGCAGACUGGUAAACACAAAUGAAAACUUGAGCAAAAGUCGGAAGAUUCUCCGUUCAAUGUCCAGAAAAGUGACCAAUAAACUGCUGCUUUCCAUUGUCAUCUUAUUGGAGCUCAUCAUCCUGGGAUGCCUGGUUUAUUACAAAUUCUUUCGCAAGCACUGAAUUUCCUAUAAAGAAGGAUUUAUGGACCAGAACUUUGACCCUCUGAAUGAAUAUGAGGAAAAUGGAGUAAACUGAGUUGCUGCUGUGGGCUAACAGUCCGAGGAUGCACUGUACAGCCAAAUGGGAGGAGGGAGGGAAGAUGGAGAACCACUUAAAUGUGAAGGAACAUCAACAAGACCAGAAUGAUAUACCAAGGUAAUAAAUGCUGUUUAUG